AUCCUAGCCAGCCUCCUGCCCGUCCAGCAGUUUUUUCCUGUAUAUACAAACUCCGUCAGGCAUGGAAGAAAACCAACAUCAUGAGAUAAUGCAGGUCCGCAGAGGUCGUUAGCUACUGAGAAAAGCAGGUCAGGAUUAAUGGGAGACUUUGAAACAUACAGUAGCUGUGCCAGGCAGUGGCGGAACUUAACAUUGUACAGAUUUGAGGCACGACUAAUUGGUAACACAUGGAUGAAGAGCUGAAGGAUUUACAGUAUUGGAGGAGAAAUUGGAAUGGGAGAGGUCUACUGAGCAUACGAUAACCUGCGAGAGAUUCUGAAUUGGACAUACAGAAUGUCAGCUGAUGGAAAUAAUUAACCCAUGAGUUGAUGAGUUACAAAACUGCUUCAUGUGUUGGUUUCUUGGGCACUUUCUGAGAUUUCCUACAAUAAAAACUUUAGUUUGGCAAAA